rnacentral:rRNA from 1 species
UACGUAGGGUGCGAGCGUUGUCCGGAAUUAUUGGGCGUAAAGAGCUCGUAGGCGGCUUGUCGCGUCGGAUGUGAAAGCCCGGGGCUUAACUCCGGGUCUGCAUUCGAUACGGGCAGGCUAGAGUUCGGUAGGGGAGAUCGGAAUUCCUGGUGUAGCGGUGAAAUGCGCAGAUAUCAGGAGGAACACCGGUGGCGAAGGCGGCUCUCUGGGCCUGUCCUGACGCUCAGGCGCGAAAGCUAGGGGAGCGAACAGG